UAAUGUAUGGGGAUCUGCCGAUAGAGGGGAUAACUACUGGAAACGGUGGCUAAUACCGCAUAAUGUCUACGGACCAAAGCAGGGGCUCUUCGGACCUUGCACUAUCGGAUGAACCCAUAUGGGAUUAGCUAGUAGGUGGGGUAAAGGCUCACCUAGGCGACGAUCUCUAGCUGGUCUGAGAGGAUGAUCAGCCACACUGGGACUGAGACACGGCCCAG
rnacentral:rRNA from 1 species